AUCAGAAAAUGUAAUAAACACUUUGUCUUUAGAGAGUCUAUGGUUGGUGUGAAUAGAUGAUAGAGGUUUAUGAGAUAGGCUGAUGCCAAACAAGCAUUCGUAUCCAUUUUAUGGAUUGUCUGGUUUAGUAAAGUGAGUUUGGUUCGAUGAAUUCGAAACAAUGAGAGUUCGGUCCGCACCCCUUAUCGUGCGCCUCCUUGUUAGAGGAGAAAAAGUUAUGGACUUUUCUAGUCGAGUCCAUAGUGAGGUGGCACCGUGUCCAUUGACGCCCACGCAGGAUAUUUUUUCCUGCGUGGGCUUUUUUCAUUAU
rnacentral:misc_RNA from 3 species